GACGAACGCUGGCGGCGUGCUUAACACAUGCAAGUCGAACGGAAAGGCCCUGCUUUUGUGGGGUGCUCGAGUGGCGAACGGGUGAGUAACACGUGAGUAACCUGCCCUUGACUUUGGGAUAACUUCAGGAAACUGGGGCUAAUACCGGAUAGGAGCUCCUGCUGCAUGGUGGGGGUUGGAAAGUUUCGGCGGUUGGGGAUGGACUCGCGGCUUAUCAGCUUGUUGGUGGGGUAGUGGCUUACCAAGGCUUUGACGGGUAGCCGGCCUGAGAGGGUGACCGGCCACAUUGGGACUGAGAUACGGCCCAGACUCCUACGGGAGGCAGCAGUGGGGAAUAUUGCACAAUGGGCGGAAGCCUGAUGCAGCAACGCCGCGUGCGGGAUGACGGCCUUCGGGUUGUAAACCGCUUUCGCCUGUGACGAAGCGUGAGUGACGGUAAUGGGUAAAGAAGCACCGGCUAACUACGUGCCAGCAGCCACGGUGAUACGUAGGGUGCGAGCGUUGUCCGGAUUUAUUGGGCGUAAAGGGCUCGUAGGUGGUUGAUCGCGUCGGAAGUGUAAUCUUGGGGCUUAACCCUGAGCGUGCUUUCGAUACGGGUUGACUUGAGGAAGGUAGGGGAGAAUGGAAUUCCUGGUGGAGCGGUGGAAUGCGCAGAUAUCAGGAGGAACACCAGUGGCGAAGGCGGUCCUCUGGGCCUUUCCUGACGCUGAGGAGCGAAAGCGUGGGGAGCGAACAGGCUUAGAUACCCUGGUAGUCCACGCUGUAAACGGUGGGUACUAGGUGUGGGGUCCAUUCCACGGGUUCCGUGCCGUAGCUAAUGCUUUAAGUACCCCGCCUGGGGAGUACGGCCGCAAGGCUAAAACUCAAAGGAAUUGACGGGGCCCCGCACAAGCGGCGGAGCAUGCGGAUUAAUUCGAUGCAACGCGUAGAACCUUACCUGGGUUUGACAUGGAUCGGGAGUGCCCAGAGAUGGGUGUGCCUCUUUUGGGGUCGGUUCACAGGUGGUGCAUGGCUGUCGUCAGCUCGUGUCGUGAGAUGUUGGGUUAAGUCCCGCAACGAGCGCAACCCUUGUUCACUGUUGCCAGCACGUUAUGGUGGGGACUCAGUGGAGACCGCCGGGGUCAACUCGGAGGAAGGUGGGGAUGACGUCAAGUCAUCAUGCCCCUUAUGUCCAGGGCUUCACGCAUGCUACAAUGGCUGGUACAGAGAGUGGCGAGCCUGUGAGGGUGAGCGAAUCUCGGAAAGCCGGUCUCAGUUCGGAUUGGGGUCUGCAACUCGACCUCAUGAAGUCGGAGUCGCCAGUAAUCGCAGAUCAGCAACGCUGCGGUGAAUACGUUCCCGGGGCU
rnacentral:rRNA from 1 species